GGUUGAUCCUGCCAGUGGUCAUAUGCUUGUGUUAAAGAUUAAGCCAUGCAUGCCUUAGUACAAACUUUCUUUUGGUUAAACUGCGGACGGCUCCAUAAAUCAGUUAUAUUCGAUUUGGUGAAAGCAGAAAGGACGCAAGUUACUUGGAAUAACUCUGUGAAUUGUAGAGCUAAUACAUGCACAAUGAAACCGAAAGGUUGCACUUGUCGCAAAAUAUUAACGAAAGUCGAUUUGAAUGGCAAAGUAAUGGGCGAGAGGCAGUCUCAAAGGUUGGAAAUGACGAACUGAAUUC
rnacentral:rRNA from 1 species